CCAUUCCGCGUGAGUGAAGAAGGCUUCGGGUUGUAAAGCUCUUUCAGCUGGAACGAAACGGUACGCUCUAACAUAGCGUGCUAAUGACGGUACCAGCAGAAGAAGCACCGGCUAACUACGUGCCAGCAGCCGCGGUAAUACGUAGGGUGCGAGCGUUAAUCGGAAUUACUGGGCGUAAAGCGUGCGCAGGCGGAUUGUUAAGCAAGAUGUGAAAUCCCCGGGCUUAACCUGGGAAUGGCAUUUUGAACUGGCAGUCUAGAGUGUGUCAGAGGGGGGUGGAAUUCCACGUGUAGCAGUGAAAUGCGUAGAUAUGUGGAGGAACACCAAUGGCGAAAGCAGCCCCCUGGGAUAACACUGACGCUCAUGUACGAAAGCGUGGGUAGCAAACAGGAUUAGAUCCCUGGUAGUCCACGCCCUAAACGAUGUCACUGGUUGUUGGGGGAUGAAAUCCCUUA
rnacentral:rRNA from 1 species